rnacentral:ncRNA from 1 species
CCAUCUGUAUCACCAGAUGACCCUAGGAUCCUGAAUAAAGCAGCGGAUCUGACAAUGUAACGAAACUUGGCUAUGAGGCUGAGUGGGAACAAAAUCGUGAGAGGAUGUUCUUCCUGAAAACCACGGUUCGGGUAAGUGC